rnacentral:rRNA from 1 species
AUUGAACGCUGGCGGCAGGCCUAACGCAUGCAAGUCGAGCGGAUGAAGGGAGCUUGCUCCUGGAUUCAGCGGCGGACGGGUGAGUAAUGCCUAGGAAUCUGCCUGGUAGUGGGGGAUAACGUCCGGAAACGGGCGCUAAUACCGCAUACGUCCUGAGGGAGAAAGUGGGGGAUCUUCGGACCUCACGCUAUCAGAUGAGCCUAGGUCGGAUUAGCUAGUUGGUGGGGUAAAGGCCUACCAAGGCGACGAUCCGUAACUGGUCUGAGAGGAUGAUCAGUCACACUGGAACUGAGACACGGUCCAGACUCCUACGGGAGGCAGCAGUGGGGAAUAUUGGACAAUGGGCGAAAGCCUGAUCCAGCCAUGCCGCGUGUGUGAAGAAGGUCCUCGGAUUGUAAAGCACUUUAAGUUGGGAGGAAGGGCAGUAAGUUAAUACCUUGCUGUUUUGACGUUACCAACAGAAUAAGCACCGGCUAACUUCGUG